ACUCCUACGGGAGGCAGCAGUGGGGAAUCUUGCACAAUGGAGGAAACUCUGAUGCAGCGAUGCCGCGUGAGUGAAGAAGGCCCUUGGGUUGUAAAGCUCUUUCGUCGGGGAAGAAAAUGACUGUACCCGAAUAAGAAGGUCCGGCUAACUUCGUG
rnacentral:rRNA from 1 species